rnacentral:rRNA from 1 species
UGCCAGCCGCCGCGGUAAUACGGAGGGUGCUAGCGUUAUUCGGAAUUACUGGGCGUAAAGGGCGCGUAGGCGGUCCGUUAAGUCAGAUGUGAAAGCCCUGGGCUCAACCCAGGAAUUGCAUUAGAUACUGGCGGGCUAGAGUUCAAGAGAGGUAAGUGGAAUUCCUAGUGUAGAGGUGAGAUUCGUAGAUAUUAGGAAGAACACCGGUGGCGAAGGCGACUUACUGGAUUGAUACUGACGCUGAGGCGCGAAAGCGUGGGGAGCAAACAGGAUUAGAUA